UGGGGAAUAUUGGACAAUGGGCGCAAGCCUGAUCCAGCCAUGCCGCGUGAGUGAUGAAGGCCCUAGGGUUGUAAAGCUCUUUCACCGGUGAAGAUAAUGACGGUAACCGGAGAAGAAGCCCCGGCUAACUUCGUGCCAGCAGCCGCGGUAAUACGAAGGGGGCUAGCGUUGUUCGGAUUUACUGGGCGUAAAGCGCACGUAGGCGGACUUUUAAGUCAGGGGUGAAAUCCCGGGGCUCAACCCCGGAACUGCCUUUGAUACUGGAAGUCUUGAGUAUGGUAGAGGUGGGUGGAAUUCCGAGUGUAGAGGUGAAAUACGUAGAUCUUCGGAGGAACACCAGUGGCGAAGGCGGAUCACUGGGCCAUUACUGACGCUGAGGUGCGAAAGCGUGGGGAGCAAACAGG
rnacentral:rRNA from 1 species